UACGGAGGGUGCGAGCGUUGUCCGGAAUCACUGGGCGUAAAGGGCGCGUAGGCGGCUUCUCAAGCGUGUGGUGAAAGUCCGGGGCUCAACCCCGGAUCGGCCGUGCGGACUGGGGAGCUCGAGUUCUGUAGAGGCGGGUGGAAUUCCGGGUGUAGCGGUGGAAUGCGUAGAGAUCCGGAAGAACACCGGUGGCGAAGGCGGCCGGCUGGGGGUGCCCUGACGCUGAGGCACGAAAGCGUGGGGAGCGAACGGG
rnacentral:rRNA from 1 species